rnacentral:rRNA from 2 species
GCGAGUGAAGCGGCAACAGCUCAAAUUUGAAAGCUGGCUUAGGCCCGCAUUGUAAUUUGCAGAGGAUGCUUCUGGCGAGGUGCCUUCCGAGUUCCCUGGAACGGGACGCCAUAGAGGGUGAGAGCCCCGUAUGGAUGGACACCAGACCUGUGUGAAGCUCCUUCAACGAGUCGAGUAGUUUGGGAAUGCUGCUCUAAAUGGGAGGUAAAUCUCUUCUAAAGCUAAAUACCGGCCAGAGACCGAUAGCGCACAAGUAGAGUGAUCGAAAGAUGAAAAGCACCUUGAAAAGGGGGUUAAACAGUACGUGAAAUUGUUGAAAGGGAAGCGCUUGUGACCAGACUUGCGCCGGGCAGCUCAUCAGGGGUUCUCCCCUGUGCACUCUGCCCGGCUCAGGCCAGCAUCGGUUCUCGUGGGAGGAUAAGAACGGUAGGAACGUGGCCCCCUCUCGGGGGGGUGUUAUAGCCUGCCGUACGAUACUCCCGUGGGGACCGAGGUUCGCGCUCCGCAAGGAUGCUGGC